AGCGAACGCUGGCGGCAGGCUUAACACAUGCAAGUCGAACGGGCACUUCGGUGCUAGUGGCAGACGGGUGAGUAACGCGUGGGAACGUGCCUUUCGGUUCGGAAUAAUCCAGGGAAACUUGGACUAAUACCGGAUACGCCCUUCGGGGGAAAGAUUUAUCGCCGAAAGAUCGGCCCGCGUCUGAUUAGCUAGUUGGUGAGGUAAAGGCUCACCAAGGCGACGAUCAGUAGCUGGUCUGAGAGGAUGAUCAGCCACAUUGGGACUGAGACACGGCCCAAACUCCUACGGGAGGCAGCAGCAGGGAAUCUUGGGCAAUGGGCGAAAGCCUGACCCAGCGACGCCGCGUGGAGGAAGAAGUCCUUCGGGGCGUAAACUCCUGGACGUGGGGGACGAGGUAAGGACGGUACCCCAGUAGAAAGGGACGGCUAACUACGUG
rnacentral:rRNA from 1 species